CCUACGGGUGGUAGCAGUGGGGAAUAUUGCACAAUGGGGGAAACCCUGAUGCAGCGACGCCGCGUGAGUGAAGAAGUAUUUCGGUACGUAAAGCUCUAUCAGCAGGGAAGAAAAAAAGUCCAUUGGACUUUGGAGGGUACCUGACCAAGAAGCCCCGGCUAACUACGUGCCAGCAGCCGCGGUAAUACGUAGGGGGCAAGCGUUAAUCGGAUUUACUGGGUGUAAAGGGAGCGUAGGCGGCAGCGCAAGUCUGGAGUGAAAUGCCGGGGCCCAACCCCGGAACUGCUUUGGAAACUGUGCAGCUGGAGUGCAAGAGAGGUAAGCGGAAUGCCUGGUGUAGCGGUGAAAUGCGUAGAUAUUAGGAGGAACACCGGUGGCGAAGGCGGCUUACUGGACUGUAACUGACGUUGAGGCUCGAAAGCGUGGGGAGCAAACAGGAUUAGAUACCCGUGUAGUC
rnacentral:rRNA from 1 species